GCUGGCGGCGUGCCUAAUACAUGCAAGUCGAGCGAAUAGAUUAAGAGCUUGCUCUUAUGAAGUUAGCGGCGGACGGGUGAGUAACACGUGGGUAACCUGCCCAUAAGACUGGGAUAACUCCGGGAAACCGGGGCUAAUACCGGAUAACAUUUUGAACUGCAUGGUUCGAAAUUGAAAGGCGGCUUCGGCUGUCACUUAUGGAUGGACCCGCGUCGCAUUAGCUAGUUGGUGAGGUAACGGCUCACCAAGGCAACGAUGCGUAGCCGACCUGAGAGGGUGAUCGGCCACACUGGGACUGAGACACGGCCCAGACUCCUACGGGAGGCAGCAGUAGGGAAUCUUCCGCAAUGGACGAAAGUCUGACGGAGCAACGCCGCGUGAGUGAUGAAGGCUUUCGGGUCGUAAAACUCUGUUGUUAGGGAAGAACAAGUGCUAGUUGAAUAAGCUGGCACCUUGACGGUACCUAACCAGAAAGCCACGGCUAACUACGUGCCAGCAGCCGCGGUAAUACGUAGGUGGCAAGCGUUAUCCGGAAUUAUUGGGCGUAAAGCGCGCGCAGGUGGUUUCUUAAGUCUGAUGUGAAAGCCCACGGCUCAACCGUGGAGGGUCAUUGGAAACUGGGAGACUUGAGUGCAGAAGAGGAAAGUGGAAUUCCAUGUGUAGCGGUGAAAUGCAUAGAGAUAUGGAAGGAACACCAGUGGGCGAAAGCGACUUUCUGGUUCUGUAACUGACACUGAGAGCGAAAGCGUGG
rnacentral:rRNA from 1 species